UCCCCUCAUUGAUCCAAACCCUGACCUCCUCCUUUGUACGAGCCUCAAAAGACCCUAGCCGCCAUUUGACCACCCCGAACGGUGAUCGACGGAGGGAGAUCUGCUCGCUCGCUAACCCCGCUUAGGUCCUUGCCUUAAAGACCACCGAUUUCAAACCCAAAAUCCCAUCUCGACUACGAUUAAAGCGAAGGAGAUAAGGACUCCACUGGUUCGUACGUAUAGGUAAACCUCUUUACUUCCUUUUACAAUUUUUAUACUCAAAAUACACAGUAUGUGAAACCAAAGAAACAAAAAACGAAGAGGAAAACAAUCGGAAAAGAAGAACCAAAUCUGAAAAUCACCUUUUGAUUUUUGGUUGCUUUUUUUUUUUAUUUCAAUGCGUGUAUAUUGUGCAUAAAAAAAAUUACAAUGAAAAAUUUCUUGGCUUUAUAGCCAAAUGAUGAAAACUAAAAAAAAUACAAUCUUUUUAUCCCUUCUUUCUUCGUUUUGUUGUUGUGUUUGUCCCUUUUUGUAGGUACGGAGUAUGCGUGGCGCCUGUACGGGGGCUGUGCGCUGGCGUACGGAGGUGUGGGUGUGGCUGUAGUGCCAGGAGGCCGUACGGCGCUGCGGGUUGGGGCUUAGCUGCGGCGCAAGAGGUAGAAACCCUAGGGUUUCUGUUUCUAAAGUAUUUUGGGUCGUUUGGGCCGAUGUAAUUUUGGGUCUAGGUUUAUUUGAGCUUGUAUUGGGUUUGGGCUAUGGACCAUUUGAAAUUUAGGUUUUAAUUUUGGGCCCUGGACUGUUUAAAAUUGACUUUAUAAUACUUUUCUUAUAAUUUAUUCUCUCCCUUUUUGUUUAGUGUUUAUACGGGCCCGGGCCAAAAUUGGGCCUUACAGUUUCCCCUCUUUGCUCAUUGUCUUGUAACGAGAAUAGAGCAAAGACUUCAAAGAAGACCAAUUUUGCCCGGUCCCACUGAAUCAUAACUUCUUUGGUGCUCUUCUUCUUCGAGGUAGCCUUGUCUCAAUCCUCUGCAACUUCAGGGGUAUAGGAAUUGUCGCUCCAAUCUACUCCACUGUAACUCUAGAGGGACUAGCCUUGUAGCUUUUAAUCUGCUCUACUACAACUGCUCCACUGCAACUUCAGGGAGAUACGGUUCGUGUAUUUUUAUCCUGCUCUACUGCAACUUCAGAGAGAUAAGGAUUGUGGCUUCGAUCUACUCCACUGCAACUUCGGGAGAUAAGAUCUGCUAACUUCAGCCUGCUCUACUACAACUUCAGGGAGAUAAGACUUGGGUAAUUUUAUCCUGCUCUACUGCAACUUCAGAGAAAUAAGGAUUGUGGCUUCGAUUUGCUCCACUACAACUUCAGGGAGACAAGAUCUGCUAUCUUCAGUCUGCUCCACUACAACUUCAGGAAGAUGAGACUUGCUACUUCAACCCACUCAACCGCAACUUCAGAGAGAUAAGUUUGCUAUGAUGACUUAAUCCAUCCUACUGCAAUUUCAGUGGUAUAGGAUUUAUGGUUUCACCGGUCUGUUAUGUCGCUCUCUAGGGAGCAUGAACUGUAGAAUCAAUUUUAUAAGACUAUGCUUAUGCCGAAUGAUUAGGAUGCUUUGAUCAGAAUGAAUAGAGAGCUCCUAACUAGGUGCGAAUGAUAUUUGAAUGAAUGCAGAAUGUUGUGAGAAUGAUCCCUUUAAUAUUUGGAUUGUCAUUGCUCGUUGUUCAUCAAGGUUCUACCACUGCUGUGUCAUCCUGUCUUCUUUGCUCGGCUAGUACCUUUGGCAGAAAAUCACUAUUUGUUCAACUGGUUUUCUCUACUGCACCCUUAGGGAGAUAGAAUCUACAACUUCUUUUAUCCACCCCACUACAACUCCAGGGUGUAGGAUCUGAAUUUUCUCUAUCAAUUUGGUCUGUUACACCAUUCCUCGGGUUUCAUGGCCAGACAUGUAUGCCUAAUGAAUGUAAAGUAUCAUUUUUUUUAGAGUGACCUCCUUUUAUUCUGAUCAUUUCUCAUUGAGAUUGCAUCAUUCACGCAAUACCUCGUCUUUUGUUCAAUCACUAUUUUGGAUCAAAAAUCCAAAGAGAUGGUCUCUACUUAAACCAUUCCCACUCAGAUAUUUCCUUAAGCUUGGUGAGUUCUAAAUAACAGUCCUGCUUCAGAUUCUUGUAUUAUUUAGAAGCUUUCCAAAAGUAAUACGCAAAACUCUUUUUGUGAAAGUGUUAUUAAUCCAUUAAUCAUUAUCUCAAUGCAACAUGCUCGCAACAAAUCAUAGCAACGGAUAAGAAUGAAAUUUAAUUAGGGCAUAACUUGAAACAAAUAAAUUAUCGAAGAUAAAAAUGAAAGUCUAUUGGGGAUGCAUAUCUUGAAAAGAAAAAUAUUUCAAAGAUAGCUAAUUUGUUAUGAACAAGGUGAAGAAUAGGUGCCCCUAAUAUCGCAGCCUGGGCUUCUUUGUACGAACUUCCUAAAGACCAAUUUAAACUUGAUAUGUGUUUAGGAGAUCAGAAGCACUUUGUCAAUGCCCUAAGAUGUGGCAUACCCUUUCCCCUGUCAAUUCAGGUAUAGCAAGAUCAUCGCAUUCCCCCUCUUUGAUCAACAUUUGAGCCGCCCUUUUUGGGUUUUCAACUCAAAUCCCCUUUGGUCUCAAUGCGCCCUUUUGCGGGUUUUCACCUUGGCCUUUCGUUCUUUUUCUUCUUCUUCUUCUUCUUUUAGGAAGGUCUCAAAGCGCCCUUUGCGGGUUUUCACUUUAGCCUCUUUCCCUUUUUAAGUGUAGUACUUCUUGACAGAAUCCGAAUUCACAGGAUUGGGCAGGUUUUUCCCAUCGAUUUCAGCCAAAAUUAAUGCUCCUCUGGAGAAAGCUUUCUUCACCACAUAAGGCCCCUCCCAAUUGGGAAUUCAUUUUCCUCUAAAAUCCUUUUCUAUAGAAAGGAUCUUUUUCAGAACUAGAUCUCCCUCAUGAAACUCUCUUGGGCGUACCUUUUUGUCAUAAGCCCGCAUCAUUCUUUUUUGAUACAUCUGACCAUGCUGAGUAGCUCUUAGCCUCUUCUCUUCAAUCAAAUUCAACUGAUCAUAUCGAGACUGUAUCCAUUCUGCUUCAUCUAGCUUCAACUCUGACAAAAAUCUGAGAGAAGGUAUCUUCACCUCAAUGGGUAGAACCGCUUCCAUUCUAUAGACCAAUGAGAAAGGCGUUGCCUCAGUAGAAGUUCUGAUAGAUGUUUGAUAAGCAUAAAGAGCGAAUGGCAACUUCUCAUGCCAAUCUCUGUAAGUUUCAGUCAUUUUUCCCACAAUCCUCUUGAUAUUUUUAUUGGCUGCUUCUAUUGCCCUAUUCAUUUUUGGGCGAUAUGGUGAUGAAUUAUGGUAGACCUCUGCUAUUGUGCUAUUGUUCAAAUUCAAUGCAUUGUCAGAUAUGAUCCUUUCCGGCAUCCCAUAUCGACAUAUGAUCUCCUUUUUCAAGAAUUUACUCACAGCCGAUUUUGUAACAUUGGCAUAUGAGGCCGCCUCUACCCACUUGGUGAAAUAGUCAAUGACCACAAAGAUGAACCGAUGCCUAUUUGAAGCCUUCGGUGAGAUUGGCCCUAUGACAUCCAUGCCCCACAUGGAAAACAGCCAUGGGGAAGUCAUAACAUGCAAAGGCGAUAGAGGUACAUGAAUUUUAUCACCAUAGAUUUGACAUUUGUGACACUUCUUGGCGUAAUUAAUGCAGCCUCCUUCCAUGGUAGACCAAUAAUAUCCAAAUCUCAUAAUUUGUCUAGCCAUUGUGAAGCCAUUGGCAUGUGUUCCACAAACGCCUUCGUGAACUUUUUCUAAAAUUUUCUUGGCUUCCACAGCAUCUACACAUCUCAACAGGACUUGUUCCUUUCUUCUUUUAUACAGUAUUUCCCUAUAUAAGACAUAAUCACAUGCUAGCCUUCUCAACAUCCUUUUAUCAUUCUCAGUUGCCUGAUCAAGGUACUCUCGAUUUCUCAUGUAUCGUAAUAUAUCUUGAUACCAAGGACGGUCAUCUCUCUCCUCUUCCUCCAUGUUGUAACAAUAAGAUGGAGCUUCACAAAUACUCAUCUGAAUGGUUUUACAUCUUCUUGUUUACUCACAUUGAUCAUGGAAGCCAAGGUAGCCAAAGCAUCUGCCAUCUGGUUCUCAUCUCGCGGGAGAUAAUUGAAAGAAAUAUCAUCAAACUCCUCAAUUAACCCCAACAUUAUGCCUCGAUAAUUAAUCAAUUUGGAGUCUCUUGUCUCCAAUUCACCUAUAAGCUGGUAGAUCACUAGCGCGGAAUCUCCAUAUACUUCCAACACCUUGAUCUUGCAUUCUAUGGCUGCGCGGAGUCCCAUGAUGCAUGCUUCAUAUUCUGCCAUAUUAUUUGUGCAAUCAAAAUCCAAUUUACAUGUGAAUAUAUAAUGAUCUCCAUUUGGGGAUACCAAAACUGCCCCGAUUCCAUUACCCACAACAUUUGAGGCUCUAUCAAAGUUCAAUUUCCAUGGGUGACCUUUUGUAACGUCCUCUUCAUUAGCCGCCACAUACAUUAAUUCUUCAUUGGGGAAAUAAAAAUUCAAUGGCUCAUAAUCUUCUAAAGCUCUACUGGCCAGAAAUUCUGCUAUUGUGCUCCCUUUCACGGCCUUUUGACUCACGUAGACUAUGUCAAAUUCAGAAAGCAGAAUUUGCCACCUAGCCAUCCUUUCGUUCAAGGUGUUUGACUCUAUCAUAUAUUUUAGGGGGUCCAACUUCGAGAUUAACCAGGUUGUAUGGUACAACAUGUAUUGCCUCAACCUCCGAGCUAUCCAGAUCAAAGCACAACACAAUUUCUCGAUUGGCGAAUAUCUCAAUUCACAUUCAGUGAAUUUCUUACUGAGGUAAUAUAUCGUCUUUUCUUUUCUUUUUGAUUCAUCAUGCUGACCAAACACACAUCUCAUAGAGUUAUCAAACACUGCUAAAUAUAGUAUUAGCGGCCUAUCUGAGCUUGGAGGUGACAGCACUGGAGGACUUGACAAGUGCUUUUUAACCUUAUCAAAAGCUCUCUGGCAUUCAUCAUCCCAUUCUCUUGGGUUGUGCUUUUUAAGAAGACGAAAUAUGGGAUCGCAUUUCUCAGUUAAUUGCGAAAUGAACCGAGCAAUAUAUGUAACACCCCAAACCUGGCCCAGAUGUUACGAUCGAAUCCGGCGUGUCACAUUGAAGCGUUACUAGAAAAGUCAUGUUUGAUCUAAAAUCUUUCUUAGUGUUUAAAGAAUAUCCUCAUUAUAGAUUAAAGUGAAUGGAAGCUGUGCACCAGGUAGGAAGCCAGAAAAGAGGAGGUGAGUCUAUUAGACUGCUUAAGUACCUAGCUCUCCGCGGAUCCAAUCCUAGACAUGCACACCACCAUUGCCACACUUUAAUUGAGUGUUUGUUUAGGAAAAACCAUUUCGUUUUAAGCUUCUAAAAGCACUUAUUAAUUUUUGAAAACGUUUUCGUUACGGAAGCUUUGUCUUGUUUCACGAUAUUUUGAAAUCAGGUAAUUUCUUUUAAAAACGCGCCCUAGAGCUAUUCAAUUUAAAACAAUUGAAACAAUUUCAUAUCUAAGCUAACAAAACAUACUAAAAAUAAUUAAAAAUAAUUAAAGUGACCUUAUUACAAAUUAAAAACCCGAAAACAUAAAGGAAAUAAUCUAAAAUAAAAGUGAAGGUAUAAAAACUUAUUUUAAACAGCCCAUAUGGCCACUCUGAAUCCCUCCAACUCCAAGUCCACCGAUCUAAGGCUCAUCUGAAAAGGUGGGAAAAAGGGGGUGAGUUUGGAAAACUCAGUGUGUAAAGUAUCCCAACCAGAGCCCAAAUCAGUUCAAGCUUUACUAGGCCUAAACCCUAUUCAAAAAUCAGAGUUAACUGGGCCUUAGCCCAUAUCAAUAUUAAUCUGGGCCAUAGCCCCUUACUGUAUCAGAGUAUACUGGGCCUAACUCACAUCAGUAUCAAUCUGGGCCGUAGCCCUAUUACAAGUCGAGAUAUAUUGGGCAUUGCCCAUAUUAACACAGUUGGGCCCAUUUCAAUGCAGUUGGCCCAUAACAAAACAGUCUCAUAUGAUUAAUGCAUGAUAACCCCAUCCAACCCUGCACUUGCCUUCGUCCAUCCCUACACUUCCUGUGGGGAAUAAAUCACCUACGCCAUCCCUACACUUACAGUGUUAGCACCGGUUGCGGCACUAACUAUAAUCCACAGCAAAGCUGCUUAUAUCAGAAUAUGUGGCACAGCCACCAGAACGGGUUCUUCCUCCAUAACAAAACCCAACCCCAUGUAGUAUGACAUGUAUGCAGAAUAUAUAUAUAAUUAACAAGGCAUGCUUUAGAAAGAUAGUCAGAUUAUAGCGUAAGAACAGUUAUUUACCUUCAAGAGGCGUAAUCGUAAACUUACCUUUUAAGGGUAUUACGGUAAUUCUACCUUACAGAGGUAUUUUAGUAAUUUUAUCAGUUUUUUUAGGGUUUCAUGCUCAUUAUAGUUAUUAACAUAUUAACAGAAACACUUACCGAACGUUUUUACCGAAUUGGGCCCGUUGGCCCAUUUAACCCAAUUUUAACCCAUGAAGGCCAAAUAUACUGAAGUGCACGAAAUUGCGCACUCUGCAAUCUUACCAUUGAAGUUACCAAAAUUAUCAAUACAAACAAUCCUAUGAGCGCUCGCACGCUUGCAAGUUCUUGAAAUACUGACUUUUCAGCAUUUUGGCUUUUUAGUUUUUGCUGAUCUAGUCUACUAGUGGGUGUCGUUUACACACAUGAUUUGCGACAACUGCUACCGAAAUCUCCCACAAUAUCCUACAAUCGGUCACUAGACAUAUCAGAUCCAAAGUAUAAUGGCAAAAAUCAUAAACUUACUUACCAGAAUCGGCCAUCAAUACAUAUGGCCCUUGAGAUCCUACCUUUGCCAAAACUAGUAACUAGAUCUCGAUCUAGUCAUUCCACUUGUCCAAGCCUUCGAUCAGCAGCCUCUAGAUCAUACUAACACCAAAACAAAUCAAUUGUUACAACCCUUAGAGCCUCAAGCUCCAAUCGACAGCCUCCCUAUGCCUUUAGGGAUUUCGGCUUUUCUAAAACCCGAAAUAAAGAAUAGAUUUGAGUACCUACCUCAGGUUCUUUCAACCAAAACGAUUCCACUUCAGUUUCUACUAAGAUCUGAUGCAAAUCCAACCCUUAAAAACUUGCAGAAAUUGAAUCUUAGAGAUCUAAAGAUUCGGCUAUAUAUCCUUAAAAACUAUGAUGUUUUCGGCUUUUGGAACUGUAAAGAGGAAGAUGAUUUGGUAUGGUGGUUUUGCAGUGGUAUUGCCGACAAGGUUGAGUUUUAGAGGAUGUGAAAAUCAGCCAAAAGAGAUGAAGAAAAUAGGAGGAUUUUGGCUAGAAGAAAUCGAUACAAGAAACAACUUUUGGGAUUUCAGCUUUUACGGCAAUCGGCUAUAGAGGUUUAAAAAAGAAUGGGAAUGAAAGAGGAGAUGAGUAGAAUGGUAGGAAUGUUUCGGCUAGAGAAGAAAAGAAGGAGAAAAUAAAAUAGAAGAAGAGAGGAGAAGAGAAGGAAGAAUUCGGCACUCAGGAGAUCUAACUUUGCGUUUUCGGCUUUUUGUGAUACUGAGAAGAGAAUAGAAUGAAAGGGAAGGCUCUAGGUGGCUAAUCCUAAUUCGGCAAAACAAAAAGAAAAUAAAGCUUGCCCUAAUGGCCAUUCAGAUCCACGGCCUAACCUUCUUAAAGCCCUAACCGAAUUUCCACUUAAGCUCUAUCACAUGCCCGGCACAUGCACAAAAAAAAAUAAAAGUAACAAUACGCUUACCUUGUGACUUGAACUUUGGCUCCCCUUAAACAUCCACACGUCACUCCCCAAACACCUAGGUGGCACCACAUGCCACUUUACCAUAGAUCUUUUUGUGUCCUAUUUUACCACCUCAAUUUUAAAAGCCUAUAUCGCCAGAACCCUCUCUUCCCAAAUUAAAAUUCAGGAAUUGCCUCGAAUUAAAUUUACUCUUAGGCCUUUUUUCCCACACCAUAAACCUUUCAUAAUUUAUUUAAUUACUAAAUUAAACAUACGAAAUAAUAAUAAUAACAUCCAAAUUAUUUGGGCCGUUUUCCACCCAAACCCAAACUCAAGGCCUAAUACUUCCAGGCCCAAAAAUCGGGGCGUUACAAUAUAAUUUAGUCUUCCUAAGGAGCCUCAAACUUCUUUUUGAGUACGUGGUGGAGAAAAUUCUUGUAUAGCCCGAACUUUGUCUGAGUCAAUCUUAAUUCCCCUUUCACUGACUACAAAGCCUAAUAGCUUUCCUGAUCUAGCUUCAAAAGUAAAUUUCGCUGGAUUAAGCUUUAGCUGAAAUUUUCUCAAUCUCAAGAACAACUUUCUUAACACUUUGAUGUGCUCCUCUUCAGUUCAGGAUUUGGCAAUCAUAUUGUCUACAUAAACUUCAAUCUCUUUAUGCAUCAUGUCAUGGAAUAAGGUCACCAUGGCUCUUUGAUAUGUUGCUCCGGCAUUCUUCAGCCCAAACGGCAUCACCUUAUAACAGAACGUGCCCCAUAAGGUUAUGAAGGUAGUUUUUCCCAUGUCCUCAGUAUGCAUCUUUAUCUGAUUGUAUCCCGAGAAGCCAUCCAUGAAGGAGAACAAUGAGUAGCCUACCGUGUUAUCCACUAGAGUAUUAAUGUGAGGCAAGGGGAAGUUGUCUUUUGGGCUAGCCUUUUUUAAGUCUCUAUAAUCAACACACAUUCGUACUUUCCCAUCCUUUUUAGGAACAGGUACAAUGUUGGCUACCCAUUCCAAGUAUUUGACCACCCGCAGGAAUCCAACAUCAAAUUGUUUCUUGACUUCCUCCUUUAUUUUUAGCACAAUGUUUGGCCUCAUCCUUUGAAGUUUCUACUGAAUUGGUUUGCAAUAUUCUUUUAAGGGAAGGCGAUGUACUACAAUAUCGGUGCUCAACCGGAGCAUAUCUUGGUAGGACCAUGUGAAGACAUCUUUAAAUUCUUGAAUUAACCCAAUAAAGUCUUGCUUUGUUUCUUCAGUUAUGCACGUUUCGGUUCUUACAGCUUUUCCUUCUUCCAAAGUCACCACCUCCACUGUCUCUUUAUGCGGCAGAAUUUGUUUUUCCUCUUGUUCUACCAUCCUUAACAAGUCCAGAGAUAAGUCACAAUCUCUGUCAUCUUCAAAGUCCUGAGAUCCCUCUAAACACAUGUAUUGCUCAAAAAGUGAUUCUGAGUCAGUAGCAGUGUCACUCGUGACAUUGAUAUCCAGGGACCUAUUAUAGGUACAAAAAUAUAUAAAGAAUGAAUGAAUGAAUUUAAGAAUUAUUGUUUGCAUGGUAUGAUUAUGAAGGAAUGAUUGAAGAAAGUCUAAAAGGACCAAGAAUAAUUACUCCGGCGGAAAGAAUAAAUCAAUUACUUGUGGAAAAAAUGAAAGAACAUUUGCUCAAAAUGAUAGCAAAAAUGUACUUUAUUAAAAUAACGAUGUUUGAACAUGAGCCUAUUUCACAAAGAAAUUCUUAUUGCCUCUAGGCUUAAAGCAACAAGAUUGUUUCGAACAUUACUCUGAGUAAGCUCUAAAUACUAUAGGAAUGUCUUCUGUAGUCUAGUUGCUUAGAACACUCCUAGGUUCAUAAGGACGAAUAUUUGACAAGGUCCCUUCUUUAGUUGCUUCUUCGAAUAUGGCGUUGACGUAUAUAUCCUUCAACAUUUCUUCGAUGUCUUUUUUCUCUGACCUCUGUUUGGGAUGAAUAAUCCCUUCUGAUACAAAAGUCUUUGAUAUGUAAGGGAUUAUCAUGGGUUCCCACUUGACAUCAUCACCACUCACAUGUGCCCUUGUUCUUUCCUUCCUUUUCUCUAAUUCCUUCUUUCUUUGUCUGGCAUCUGGCCUGAACCCCAAACCAAAGCGAUCAUAUUUGUCCUUCAGCAUAGGCACCUCAACUAUUUCCUGAAGACUCCUCCCAAGUCCCCUUCCUGGUAAAGCUCCUCUUCCAACCAUCAAUUGUAGACUCCUUAUGGUUUUGGAUAAUUUUGGCGUCGGAAUCUUACUCCCCUCAGUAAUGAAUGUCACAUUAACAAAUUCUAAGGACCGAAAUGAACAUUCGAUUGCUUCGUCAUCUGUCUCCAAAUAUGGCGUAUCACUGCUUACAGCUGCAAUGAUAUCCUCUUCAGCAUUUAUCGUUAUCAAUCAACCCUCUGAUACUAACUUCAACUUCUGAUGCAAUUAUGAAGGCACUGCCCCUGCUGAAUGUAUCCAAUGUCUUCCUAAAAGGCAGUUGUAUGAGGGUUUGAUAUCCAUAACCAAAAAGUCCACCUCAUAUGUAGUCGGGCCAAUCAACAAAGGUAUUUCUAUUCUACCAUGACUCUUCUUUCUGUGCCAUCGAAUGCCCGCACUAUAUUCUGACACCCCUUCAUGUGCGAGCUAUCCACAGGUAAUCUAUUUAAUGUAGACAAGGGCAAUACAUUCAACGCUGACCCAUUGUCUAUCAAGACUCCCGGUAGUGUGUAUCCUUUGCAUCUGGUAGUGAUGUGUAGAGCUUUAGUGGAUCCCUUACCUCCUGGUGGUAUUUCGUCAUCGUUGAAGACGAUGAAAUUAUCAGCACUUAUGUUAUUAACCAGCUGAUCCAACUUAUUGACAAAGAUAUCAUUAGUCACGUACAUCUCAUUUAGCACUUUCAUCAAUCCAUUGCGCUAGACCUCUGAAUUUAGGAGCAAAGCUAGUAUAGAUAUGCGAGCUGGUUGUUUAUGCAACUGUUCCACCACGCUAUAUAUUCACCAUGUUUCAAAAAUUUUAGGAAUUCUUUAGCUUCCUCCUCUUUCACUGGUUCAUUAACAGGCAGCUCAAACUCAACAGGUUUUCCUUUCUUUUGUUUUGCUAUCGGAGCUUUUCCUUUUACAGGUUCUGUUCGGGUAUUCACCAAAUCAUAACUUCUUCCACUACAUGUGUGAAAACCCAUAUCUUGAUCCUCCUUAGCUGAACACUCCUUCCCCGGGAUUGUCACAUUACAAUCACAACUUCAUGGGACCCUUUUGUUGUUCUUGUAAGAGAAAACUGCUGGUUUCUGAAUUAUAACCUUCGGUGUCAUUUGAAUCCCCACCUCAUUUUCUGGACGUAAAAUGAUGACCACAGGAUAAUUGACCUUCGGGGCCCUUCGAUGUUGAUUCUUACGUGCAUAUACACCCCUCCUAUUUAGCCUCCUCAUAAAAUUCUAUCUCCUUGUUGUCCAUCAGGCCCUGAAUCAAAGCUCUGAACUCUUCACAUUCUUAAAUUUCAUGCCCCUCUUCAUAAUAGAAUUCACAGUAGCUCUCAAUCCCUUUACCGUUCCUUUUUAGAUCUGAAAUAACUAAUCCCCUUUUUGCCAUCUCUUUUCAGACCCAUUUCAAAGAAGUUUUAACUUCUGUAAUGUCUGCCUUGAUCUUUCUCCCCAUAUUUUCACUUAUCGCGUUUACCCCGCCAUCGGCAUGAUUAGGUAACGGAUUUUAUGCACUGGGUGCAUUAUCAAACUUCACAACGCCUACUUUAAUAAGUCUUUCAACUACUUUCUUAAAGGCAAUGCAGUUUUCUAUUGAAUGCCCCAGAAUUCCUGCAUGGUAGUCACAUUGAGCAUUUGUGUCGUACCAUUUGGGGUACGGGGGUUGUAAUGGCUUUAGGUAAAAAGGGGCCACCACAUGUACAUCGAAUAAACUUUGAUACAACUCCUUAUAUGGCAAUGGGAUAGGCGUAAAUUGAAGCUUCUCAAUGUUUUACUUUGUGCCUGACUCUUGUCUUAAUGAACCUUGACUUCCGGUAGUCACUACUCUCGAUUGAUUAACGGUAAAUGAUUUUGAGUACCCUACGUUCGUAUUGUUCACCUUAUGUUCUUUUUUUCGCAGGGCUGACCUUUCGGUAUUUUUCCCUGCCUCUAUCCUUCCACUUCUUAUUGCAUUCUCGAUCAUUUCUCCAGUCAUUACCACGUAUGAGAAGCUUUUUGUGGCACUUCCCAACAUGUGUAUAAUGAACGGGGCCUUCAAAGUGUUGAUAAAGAGCAUCGUGGUUUCUUUUUCUAAAAGCAGCGGUUGAACUUGUAUGACAACUUCUCUCCAUCUUUGCGCUUAUUGUCUGAAACUUUCAUUUGGUUUCUUCUCCAUAUUCUGUAGAAUAAUCCUGUCAGGAGUCAUAUCCAUCACAUGGCUUUACUGCUUCAUGAACGCUUGGGCCAAAUCUUUCCACGAACUAAUCUUGGUACGACUCAGCUGAUUGUACCACUUAGAUGCUGCCCCCACUAAACUGUCUUGGAAGCAAUGAAUCAGUAGUUGAUCGUUGUUAACAUAACCAGUAAUUCUUCUGCAAAACAUGGUAAUAUGAGCUUCAGGGUAGCUCGUUCCAUUGUAUUUCUCAAAUUCUGGCAUUUUGAACUUGGGAGGAAGGACUAAGUCUGGGACCAAACUCAGAUCCUUAGUGUCAAUUUCGUGAUGACUAUUAGCGCUUUCCAUUGCCCUAAAUUUUUCCUCCAGCUAUUUACACCGUUCCUCUAAUUGCUUUUGUGAUUCCAUCCUUGUCUUUUCUUCUUCUAGAACUUCAUCCAAAUCAAGAACAAGCGGAUAAUUUGGGUUAUUAACAGGGUUAGUGCUUAAGCCAACUUAGAAAUUCAUUGGUAUCGAAGCUCCAGCCUGAAUCUGUUGAGGCCUAAUCGUAACAGAUGGUCUCUGCAGAUUAAUCUUAGGUUGUGUUGGUACAUGUGUUGGAGUGAAUCUAGGAGGAUAUUGAGGGUCUUCAUUAUUUUCCCCAACAUUAUCCAUAGGACCCAUUCCCUUAUCCAUCAUUCCUAUCAGCAAUUGGGACAACUGACUCAUCAUCUCUCUUUGAGAUUCCAUCAUUUGAUCUUUCAUCUCUUGCUGAAUCUUGGCUAGCUACUCUUGCAUCUGUGUCUGCAUUUUUUCCUGCAUGUCCUUUUGUAUUUGCUCCAAUUUUUCAAGUCUUUUAUCCAUUACUUGGUCUUUUUCCUUGUACCGUAGGGGUGCGUACUUGGUUGGUUUUUGUUGGUUGCCAGAUUAUUGAAAUAAUUUUUAAUUAAUUAGAAUCUUUUUAUAGCCUUUAAUGCAUAUGAUGUAAUAUAAUGCAAAUGCAUGAAUGCAAAUGAGGCAUCAAUUUUGAUUCAAUUCCAUUUAGAAAACUUUACUAGAAAAUAAAAUUAUUUACAUAAAGCUGAGUUACAAAUAAGACUUCGCCCUAAUGCUCAGAGUCUUAAUUUUCCUAAGCAACGAUGCUAGCUCCUGCCCCUGAUCUGACUCCAACUCGUGCUUCACGCUCAGUAUGUCCACUUUUACCGCUAAAGCUUGCAAGUAAUUGGCUACCUCCUGAACCUGGGUUAUGGCUUCCCCCAUAAUGUAAUCCCUGUUUCUGGCUUGGUCUUGCGCAUGGUGAAGCUUUGAAAAACUUAAUCCGCAUCUCACAGCUUUGUAAUGACGCUUCUAAUUCUUCUAUUUUUCCUUUCAUUUCUUCUACCUUACUCAAGCUUGCUCUCAAGUUCAUUAAAGUAUUACGGCUUCGAUACAGAUGAAGAGAAUUCUCGAGUUCUGCCACUCUAGCCCUUAAUUCACCUCGUUCAUUUCUGCUUUCUGACAGACUCUUCUCUAAAUCCUCAUUUUACACCUGAGCCUCUAGAAAUUUCCUUUCCCAUCGAUCGGCUUUGGUCUUUUCCUCUCGAAUUUCCUGGUGCCAUUGUUCUAAAGUUUUACCUAACCCAGUAGUCCUCAUAGACAGGUGUAACUUCUUAUAAUCUGUCUUCAAACUGUCCAGAUCCUCUUCAGCCUUACUUUUCCCUUUUAUCAACUUUUCAGCCUCUGACUUCUGAACAUCAACGUCUAAUCUCAGAUGCAUCUUUUCUUCCUCCAAUUGUUCGAUCUUUUUCCCAAGCUCAGAACUCUUCCUUUCGAAGUCUUGCUUUAUAAUUUCCAACUCUGACGGGACGACUUGUAAUUGUUCCUCCAUUGGUCUGGUGCUUUUUACACUUGGUCUAGGAAUAUUGUCAUUGACCCUUUUUUUAAACCAUCUAUUAUAUUCAGGUGUCACCAUGGACCCAGCCAACCUCUUCAUCCAGCGAGUUUGCUUCCAAGCAUCAGAUAGUUCCCGAACUUUUUUCUUAUAGUGGUCACAAUUAUAUGGGAAUUCACACUGAGCUAGCUCGUAAGUCGUGGGUACAAAAUACCUCGAUUUAUACUGUCUUAAUGCCAGUAAAAGAGUAUACCCAGUGGCUCCCCAAAUUCUUGACAACGGUACCCAAUCAAAGUUCCCACAUCGAUACAGGAUCUCAUUAGGAACCAUCCAAAAAGCUCUCCACUUUAUAUCCCCCUCUUUGAGGUUUUGAAGAAUUUCCAUCCACUUCUCCUCUGAGAUAUCCUCUCUCUUUUGCAUAGCUGCCUCCUCCUUUAAUGGGGAAUAACCUUCAGAAAAGACCCGGUAAGAAACCUUGUCUACUUUCCAAAAAUUCCCAUGAAACCACACCAUCAACAACUGUGCACACCCAAUAAACCGCCCCUCGUCUGUCUUUCAACACAUGCUCAAGGAUCUGAAUUCUUAACCAAUAUUGUAGGUACAGGUGUGAUUCCCUUCUCAAGAUGGUCGAAUAAAUCAGUGACUGCCUCAUCCACAUGCCUUAAUCCCUUAUGAAAAAUUACCAAUCCAUAGAUGCUUAAGGCGAAGAUAUCAACCCUCUUUCUUUCAUCCGGAUGUGUUAAAACCAAAUCUCUCAAAUUCUCCCAAGGAAUACAUUUACUAUCCCCCUUUUGUUGAAUCCGAGCAGUGACCCAAGGCUCGCUCAUCCUUGAAAUAUUCAUCAAUUUCUUCGCAAAAGUUUGACCAUUAAAAACCUUGGCAUAAGCUCUUCUAACUUGAACUUUUGGACACCUGAGCAGGGUAGUAUAUUCCUCCACAGUAGGCACUAAAUCCACUUCCCCAAAACUGAAACACUUGUAAGAAGAAUUCCAAAAUUGAACCAUAACUCAGAACAGAUGCUUGUCCACCCUAAUAUCUAGCAAGUAGGAUAUAUCACCAUAGCUUUAAUAAAAUAACUAUUUGAUUCUUUCAUCCCAACGAGCCCAUAUAUCUCUCAACUCCUACAACUCAUUCUAUGCUACAUUGACGCGAGUGAAUUUCUGCAACUCUGAUGUAUAUCCCUCUGCCAAGCUAUCCCCUUUCUCCGAUUGUAACUUCUCUGACCAUGCGCAGACGGCCGCAUUAUCCUCAACUUUAUUAAUAAAUUCAUUCUCCAUGUUAAAUCUUCUAACUUAGUAAUCGAAUACAAAUUAACACCUCCUUUAGUAUGCAAUGUCAUGUAAAAGACAAUCAAAACAAAAUACAAGUUAGUAUCAAAUAUAAGUAAUAAGAUACAAGCAAAAACCAAAAAUAAUCAGAACACAGAUAUAGGGGGUAGCUCUUAAGGUUCACUAUAUGUGGUUCGAUUCUAGAGAGAAGGUACCUGAACCAGCAGAUUCCUCAAUCCUUACCCAUUAUAGGCUCAUAUGGAUCGAGUUCGAUUCAGGGGAAUACAUUUCCCUAUGACCAUGCAGAGAUGAAAAUCUCACAAAAUCAUAGGUACAGAUGUAUCCCAAAAGCAAUCAACUAGCCCAUGCGGAGGUGAAAACCUUACAAAAGCAUAGUCUCUUACUCCCACUUAAAGGUAUAACCACAACGGUCAUGUAAUGCAAUGCAAUAUUAUUCUACAAGACCCGAACCAUAACAAUCAUACCAACAAAUGCAAUCAUAAUUUUCAAAACAAAUUUUCAAUAUUUCAAUAAAAGGACAACAAAUAAUCAAUUUUAUGGCUUGACUCUCUUAAAGGGUCCCUAGUGGAGUCGCUAAGCUGUCGAAACCAUUUUUUUGUUUUGAUUUUGAAAACGAUGGGGAUCGACUUUUAAAAUGAAAUAUGGAGUCGCCACCAAUCCUUUUUGUUUAAGUGUGAUUGGAUCACCUAAUAAAAUAUUUUAUUCUAUUUAAAUUAAUUUUGGCCUACGUAAAUUUGAGAAAACGGGUUCGGGAGCCGGUUACGUAUGAAGAAGGAUUAGCACUCUCACUACGCCCAAAAUUGGUACCAAAUUGAUUAAGUACUGUCCUGAUGUCUAAGGUUUAAAGCUAUUUUUGAAAUAUGGUUCCUUAUAAAACAUUUGAAUGGCUUAAGUUGGUCGUCAAAAUUCUCUUAUUUCAAAAGUAUACAACAUCACAUCCAGCACAAUAGGACACGAUCCUUUAUACCCUCGAAAACACGAUAAAUUUUUGACUUCCAAAAGUUUAUAUAUUGAAAAUUACAAAAGGACGCCCAAGUAUUUAGUCCAACAAAAAACCGAAACCCAGCAUGGUAGGGCACAAUUCCUCGAAUUUCUAAACAUUGAACAUUGCCUUGCUUUAGAAUUUAUAAAACACGAGUGAAAUUCUAAAGGAAUAUUCAAUUAUUUCAAACCGGAAAUCGAAACCCAGCACGAUAGGGCAUGAUUCCUCGAAUUUCCAAACGUUGAACAUUGCCUUGUUUUAGAAUUUGAAAAACACGAGUGAAAUUCUAAAGGAAUAUUCGAUUAUUUUGAACAAACGAGAUAUCGAAACUCAGCACGAUAGGGUACGAUUCCCCGAAUUUCCAAACAUCAAACAUUGCCUUCGUUUUAAGGAAUUUGCAGACGAAUAAUUGUAAAACCAGCUUACAACGCAUUAAUUUGACUUGAAAUAAAAUGGAAUAAUUAAUUUUAAAGAGUUGGACCUUAUAAAAUGACAUUUGUAAACCACAAGAAAAAAAAUAAAAAACAUGGGAUAAUAUGCAUGCGUAAAAUACGAUAAUGGAUGGAUGAAGCUAAUAUAACUUAUUUAACCAAUUAACCAAGCAAACAAUUAACCCAAAACAUAACAAAAUUCACAAGCAUGGGUGAACAACAAUUGAUCUAAUAAUACAUAAAAACGAGUAAACACGAUGUAGCAAAUAUACAUGAAAUAACAUGAAGAUAAUUAAUAAAUUAGACAUCGAACAAUAUAAAACCAAUAUGAUACAAAAAUAAUUUCUAAAAAUGAUAGACUAACGAGCAAAUAACAUAUACUAGAACUUGAAAUAAUCUAUAAGAAAACUAAAGAACAUAUAUAUAUAUUUGAAAAAUUGAUGUUGCAAAAAGAAGACAUUUAGAUGGAAUAAUAUGCCAAAUAUUAAAAAAUAUAUAUAUAUUUACAAAAAGAUUGACAAUGUACACACAAUGAAAGAAAAUUUAAAUGAUACACAAAAUAUAAAAGGAUAGUAAAAAUAGAUGAUAAAAUAUGAUUUUAGAAGAUAAUUAUGCACACAAUAGAUUUUAAGAAAACAUAUGCAUAUAAAAACAAAUUUAGAAGCAAUUAUAUAUAAAAGUAACAUGAAAUUAAAUGUGAGUCUAGGAUUAAUUAUAUGUACUAAUUUACAUAAAAACAUUAAAACGAAACCAUAUAUAAAAUGUUAAAAUAAUAUGAUAUAAAAGAAUUUUAAAAUGGUGAUUUUAUAAAAAAACAAAGUGGAAUUAUUAAAGUAUCUCAAAACCUAUGAAAAUAUCAUGAACUUUAAAAUAAUAAAUAUCUUAAAUGGAAAGUUCAAUUAAAAUAAUAUACAUGAAUAAAUGUAUAAAAAUAUUUAAAUGGAAUAUUAUACAAAAUGUUAGAAUAAUAUAACGUGAAGAUUUUAAAACCAUAAUUUUUUAACAAAGUGAAAUUAAUAAAGUAAUCUCGACACAUAAAAAAGGUUUAAAUUAAUUAUUUUAAAAAUAAGCAUUAUAUAGAUAAUAAAAUUAAUUAAAAUAAGUUUAAAAUAAAAGGGAUAAUAUGUAAAUAAAAUAAAUUAUUGGGAUAAAAAUAGGGACCAACGUGCGACGCGUGCGAAUUCACAGGGAUCAAAUCUGGAAAUAUUCCAGAUCCCAAAACGCAGUGUUUAGACACAAGUUAAGCUGCAAUGACGCACAAAUCCCAGGGAUAAAUUAAAAAAAUAAAGAAAAUGUGGACAGGGCCUAAUUGAAUGUUAGCACGAAAGGGGAAGGACCAACGCGCAAAUAUCUCCUCUCCACGGAAAUGCGCGGGCCCUAGGGGCAAAGGAUCGGGUCGGGUCAGAUAGGCUUAUGCAACGUCAUUUUUGAGGCCAUGGGAACAAGCCUUAAAUGACGCCGUUCCCACGCACAUAUAAAACCCCCUUUAUACCGUAUCCCCUCAUUGAUCCAAACCCUAACCUCCUCCUUUGUACAAGCCUCAAAAGACCCUAGCCGCCAUUUGACCACCCCGAAUGGUGAUCAACGGAGGGAGAUCUGCUCGCUCACUAACCCUGCUUAGGUCUUUGCCUUAAGGACCACCGAUUUCAAACCCAAAAUCCCAUCUCGACUACGAUUAAAGCGAAGGAAAUAAGGACUCCACUGGUUCGUUCGUAUAGGUAAACCUCUUUACUUCCUUUUACAAUUUUUAUACUCAAAAUACACAGUAUGUGAAACCAAAGAAACAAAAAACGAAGAGGAAAACAAUCGGAAAAGAAGAACCAAAUCUGAAAAUCACGUUUUGAUUUUUGGUUGCUUUUUUGUAUUUCAAUGCGCGUAUAUUGUGCAUAAAAAAAUUACAAUGACAAAGUUUUUGGCUUUAUAGCCAAAUGAUGAAAACUAAAAAAAAUACAAUCUUUUUGUCCCUUCUUUCUUUGUUUUGCUGUUGUUUUUGUCCCUUUUUGCAGCUACAGGGUGUGUGUGGCGCGUGUACGGGGGCUGUGCGCUGGCGUAUGGAGGCGUGGGAGUGGCUGUGGUGCCAGGAGGCCGUACGGCACUGGCGGUUGGGGCCUGGCUGCGGCGCAAGAGGUAGAAACCCUAGGGUUUAUGUUUCUAAAGUAUUUUGGGCCGUUUGGGCUAAUGUAAUUUUGGGUCUAGGUUUAUUUGGGCUUGUAUUGGGUUUGGGCUAUGGACCAUUUGUAAUUUAGGUUUUAAUUUUGGGCCCUGGACUAUUUAAAAUUAGACUUUAUAAUACUUUUAUUAUAAUUUAUUCUCUCCUUUUUUUGUUUUGUGUUUAUAAAGGCCCGGGCCAAAAUUGGGCCUUACAUAUAUUAUAUUCAAACAUAUAAGUUAAAUUUUACAAAUAGUCAGGUGACACAUCUCAAUAAAAAAUUUUAUAAAUUGUAUAAUUUCAC
rnacentral:lncRNA from 1 species